UCAAUUCGAAGUACCUAUUACUAAUAAAA
rnacentral:sRNA from 1 species